GUUGAAGAUUCAUCAAGAUGUUUACUUUGUGGUUGAUUACAGUUGCUAUUGUGCUUGCUUCCAUGUUGCCAAGCUGUACUGCAUAUACAGUGAAAAGUUGUAACCUAACGGAGUGUAUAAAGAAGGGCAAAAGCCGUUGUUUCCUAUUCACAUGUAAAACCGAUGGGACGAGAUCAUUAAAUAAAAAUUGUGGAGGUACACUAUGUGACAGAAAAACAGAAGUGUGUAUUGGUGGUACCUGUAUAAACAGACAUAAAAAUUGUACGGUUACGAAUGAAAAAGGCCAACUCGUCUUGUGUCGUGAUCAGGGUGAAGUAUGUGGGGAAUCAUUCUGUAUUUUUAAUUUGGGUAGUAAAUGUGUAAAUAACACGUCAUGUCGGGAUAAACGUGGCUGCGUUGGGGAGGCUGAUGGUACCACUUGUGGCUAUGAUUCUACUGGUCAUUGUUCAGGUGGUGUUUGUCUAUGUAAAUAUGAUUAUAUUAUAUAUACAACUGGCG